GCAACCUAUAUGGGCCACCGUGGGUAAUCUCGAAUUGUUUCAAUUGUGUCACAGUACAACGCACUGUAGUCGCUUAAUUCCUCGCUUGUCAACAUUGAAAAAUUCUAAGAAUGGAAUAGUAUGAUUCAACGCGAAAUACAAAGAAGCUGAAUACGAAAAUUGAGAAUAUAAGAAUAUUGUAAAGAAUAAUCUACGAUAAAAGCUUCCAUCUCAACCUUAGUUCGAAAGACAGAAUAACACGAGCUUUGAUACAAAUUCAUGUACUGCAGUUCACAGAAGGAUAUUUUCAUCUCCAUUAAAGAAAGAAGCACAAUACGAAUAAAAAGAAACAAAACUAUUCUUUAAUACAUAAACUUGGAAAAGAAACAAAAAUAUUCAUGAAAGUAUACUUAAAAACUUUUGCUUAAGAGUAUUUUAACAUCUUGAAUAAAAAUGUAAAUAAAUUUGCUUGAAAUUGCUUGAAAUUUCUAGGAAACGAAAAUGAAGCUUUAUUCAUAUAAAGUUGUAGUUUAUAAUUUAUCGACCAUCCCUUGAUAAUUGCUAAUGUCGUCAUACGUUUCAUCAAUUAAUAUUAAAGCACUUUUCUUCGAUAUUUGUAGAAUUCUUGAUGCUUCUAAUAUUUUGAUAAUAAGUAAUAAUGAGAUUCAUUAUAAACCGGCUUACAGAAGUGGCUUUUAAGCCGAAAUAAUUACUUGAAAUAAAGACGCAAUUUCGUUAUUACUAUGCAAGCUCUUAGAGUCAUUUAACAGAUGCUACGUAAGAGUCUGCAAAUAACAAUUAAUGUACCACUUACAGUAUGGAAAAUAUUAAAAUCGUUUCUCAAAACAAUUAUACCACAAUAACUCCAAUUAGACGCUAAUGUCUGAGUAAUUUUCAGAACUAACCAAUUUGAAUAUCAGUAACUGCGUGUUAUAAUGUAAUCAUUAUAUACUUGUAACCAUAAGAUGUAUGUGACUUUAAAUAGAUAAAUAGUUCACUUGUCUAUUACAUAACAUGAUCUGAAAUAAAUUACAAGAUGUUAACGAAAACAAAAAAUAAUAAUAUAUAAUAACAAGAUACAAAGUAUUAAUUUGACUCUUUCCGAUACACGUCAAAUAUUGAACAAACUUACGCAAAAAGAACAAAAUUAUAAAACGAUAUUAUGCGAGAUAAUUGUUGCAGUAUACGCACCAUGUUUGACAUUAUAAAAGCGAAAGGUGAAUGUAAAGAUAAAGUCAUGGUCAUAAUAAUAAAUACAUUAUUUCAUGUCCCUAGUUUAACAGGUUUUAAACCUGUUCGUUACAGUUUUCAUGAAGUAUCAUUCGUCUAAAAAUGAUCUAAAACAUCCAAGAAUGAUAAAAAGUCAUCGCCCUACGCAUGUUGACAUUUUUAAUCUCUGAGUAUCCAAGUGAAAGCUCGCCAAUAAGAAAAUCUUAAUUCCCCUCAUAUAUCCUUAUUCGCAUAUACUAUCCUCAUCACGCUACCAAUUACUCUCACGUUUCAGUAUGCCCGAUUUCGUAAUCGCUCUUAUCGCGUGUUGCCCCGGCUAUCGGGAAAUCGCGAAUUAACACGAACCACCACGAAGCGCGUCCUCGGUCGUUUCUCGACAGAAAUCGUCAAUUUCCGUCGAGUUCCGGCUCUAGCACGAGGCGUCGGUUUCUGUCUCAACGAAACGAAUCUUCAAAUACUCGUCGAACGUGGUGCAGACAACACACGAAGGUAAUACGUAAUUGCGCCCAACCUCAAGUAUCUGUCACUUGUCAUUUGCCAAAGAAAUUUGUUUAUAUAUCCCAGCAUUGUAGCCAUGUGUAAACGAACGUGGCUGUUCUGCAGAACGAUCACCGCCAUGACACACAAUUCCCCGUUACCGCGGUCAAACACUCCGAAACGAACAUUUCACGAUCUCACUAACACACGCGCGACAUCCAGCGGGAUCUUUUUGGCAGCCGGCAACAGGUCGCGGUAGUCACUAUCCCGAACUCGUGACACGCGUCGUCGUGUUAUUGUUUAUUGUUCGGUUCACGACAGAAUUGCAGCGUCGCGUCGGUAGUGUCGGGGUCUUGCCGCUACUCUAUUUCGGUCCUCUCAGGUAGGAGAGCAGAGACAAACGUAGUCUGGUUCGAACGAAUGCUUGGAGACACUAUUAACAAAGAAUAAGAACCACUCUGUAGACUGAAAGAGAGAAAAAGAGAGAAAAAGAAAUAGAGACGACGGUGAGAAACAGAGAAAGAAUGAGCGUAAAGGAGAGAAGAAACACGAGACUGAAGCCAACGGCUACCAUUAUAAAUAGUUGCGAUCCACUAGCGAUGGGAGUAAUACUCUUUCGUCCACCAGGUGGAACAACUGUACAUAGCGCCAAUUUUAUUUUGUUGAAAAAUUAUGAUAAUUUUACAAUGAUAAUAAAUAUAAAAAAUAAAUGAAAUAUCAAGUAUAAAGCAAGUAGCUUGAAAGAUCAAUUCUCUAGUAUAGAUGUAGUUUGUUUGAAAUUGUAUCGUUCCCAUCACUAUCGGCUGAGUAAACUAGAGUGAGAUGAACGAACGCGAGAAAGAGAGACAGAACAUAUCAACGGAAGUAUGUACGUGAGAAGAACAAAAACAGACAAUGGUUUCUCGUUUGCUCUACUUCAUGUUUUACGUCAUUGUACCGUCACUGAAGUCUGUCUUGAAUUUUAACGAACUGCGGUCCUAACAUGUAAAUUUGCAUGAUUUCCUUUCGACGAACGAUGAUCGCCAAUUUUGUAGUCUCGCUGAAGUAAUUGCACUAAACUAUGAUGUGAGAACUAUUGGGUUAAUAAUACAUACAUAGUAACAAAUUACCAAAUUUAUUAAUCAAUUUCAUAAUUAAUGUUAACAAAAUCAAAUGUCAAUGAGUAUAUCUUCAAUAAAAGCCAUGUUUAUGAGCAA